UACGUAGGGGGCAAGCGUUGUCCGGAAUUAUUGGGCGUAAAGGGCGCGUAGGCGGCUUUGCAAGUGACGGGUGAAAUCCCUCGGCUUAACCGAGGAACUGCCUGUCAGACUGCAUUGCUUGAGUCCGGGAGAGGUGAGUGGAAUUCCCAGUGUAGCGGUGAAAUGCGUAGAUAUUGGGAGGAACACCAGUGGCGAAGGCGGCUCACUGGACCGGAACUGACGCUGAGGCGCGAAAGCUAGGGGAGCAAACAGG
rnacentral:rRNA from 1 species